rnacentral:lncRNA from 1 species
AUACUGAAAAAUCUACUCAAUUGGACAUACUAAAUUGCAUUAAGCUGUAUGUUUUAUGUUUAGGGUGGCCGUUCUUGUAGGUCUGAUGUGGUCAGAGGGACAAGUAGUUCAAUAGAAUACAAAUGCAUAAUGAAUGAUCCAUCUAGUUAGAUCUGGUUCGGUAUGCCGAAUUGGAUUUGAUUAUAUAUACUGACGAUAUCGACCUACAAAUUCGAUAUACCCAACUUAGCCAAAUCAUAAAAUGCAACACAAAGUUCUCUUGUAUAGGAAUUUGGGAGAUUUCUGUUAUUGAUGUAAAAUACCUGUACGCUAAACUUGUAAAUAAAUUGGUGCACGUCGUAUUAUUGUAAUCUUAUGUAUAGGUUUAGUCAUGCUUUUCCUAUAUAUUUUAGUAAAAGCAUGCAUGCUUUUGAGAUUUGGGGAAGUUGUCAAGAUAGUUUGUUGUCAUGUAAAGGUUAUGCUUGGAAUUCUUUGUAACCAAAAAAGAAAUUAAGCUUUGAUUGUGAAUAAUCAUAGUAAUCAGAAUUUAUCUUUUUCUCAAAAAGGGUCGUUGUAUCAGGACAUGGUAGAGAAGAUCUUUUGAAUAUGUGCCCACAGUACCAUGACUUUGACUUUGAGAGUUGGCGCUUGCCAAUUAGAUCUAUGAGGGACUUCUUCUUUGAGAUCGCUCAUUUGUUGAGUCCAUGUAAUGAAGAAUUUAUGCAAAAAGAUCCUAAUGAGGCGUUGGAAUUACUUGAUGAAAUUGUUGAAAAAGCUAAUCAAUUGAUUGUCCCUCUAAUCGCUCUCUGUCUCUCACAUGUGCUAAUUAAUAAAUGCAAAUUACAAUAACAACCAAAGUUCCCCCCUAAGAGUAUUUUCAACAGGAGGGGCUAGCCCGGGUCAAGAGGCCCCCUAGACCCCCAAUCCCAUUUCCAACGGCCAAAGCUUGACAGGGCAAGCGUUGGGCUCCACUAGCCUGGGCAAGGUCUAAGGCAAGACUUGUCUGGGCUGCUGUCUGGGUAAGAUGACAUAAUGCUAUUGCAUUGUGAUGUCAGUAGCCAAUUAAAAAAAAAAUUGAAAAAAAAGGAAAAAAAAACCAAAAUUUUCAUAUUCUUUUAUUUAUAAAUACCUAGCCAUAUUCUUCACUUCCCACAACAAAACUCUAUACAAACUCCUCUCCUCAUAUCUCAUGUGAAUAGUGGUUGCCCUUGAGUUGCCAUGGCAAUGGAUGAAAAACCAACAAAAAAAAUUGCUAUGACAGGCACUAUUCAUGUGAAUAGUAAUAGCAAUUGUCUCCCCUUUCCUUUUGCCAUGGCAAAUAGGUGGGAAUGACCUAAUCAAGAAGAAUAACACUUUAAAUAAUAUCUCUAACAACCUCUUCAACAACUUUGGAAUUCUAAAAUAAGUAAGCCACAUCAGAAAAAUUCUCUCGAACAGCCUCUUCAACCUCAGUUAUCAAAGCUGCAACAUUUUUCUCUCUCUUCAUAAUUGGUAAGUUGACUUUGGC